AUUGAACGCUGGCGGCAUGCCUUACACAUGCAAGUCGAACGGCAGCACGGGUGCUUGCACCUGGUGGCGAGUGGCGAACGGGUGAGUAAUACAUCGGAACGUACCUUAUCGUGGGGGAUAACGCAGCGAAAGCUGUGCUAAUACCGCAUACGCCCUGAGGGGGAAAGCGGGGGAUCGCAAGACCUCGCGCGAUUAGAGCGGCCGAUGCCUGAUUAGCUAGUUGGUGGGGUAAAAGCCCACCAAGGCGACGAUCAGUAGCUGGUCUGAGAGGACGAUCAGCCACACUGGGACUGAGACACGGCCCAGACUCCUACGGGAGGCAGCAGUGGGGAAUGUUGGACAAUGGGGGCAACCCUGAUCCAGCAAUGCCGCGUGAGUGAAGAAGGCCUUCGGGUUGUAAAGCUCUUUUGUCAGGGAAGAAACACCGGCUCUAACACAGUCCGGGAAUGACGGUACCUGAAGAAUAAGCACCGGCUAACUACGUGCCAGCAGCCGCCGCGG
rnacentral:rRNA from 1 species